rnacentral:rRNA from 1 species
GGGGUAUUAGUUUUCGGACUAAGAGACCGGCGCACGGGUGCGUAACGCGUAUGCAAUCUACCUUUUACAGAGGGAUAGCCCAGAGAAAUUUGGAUUAAUACCUCAUAGUAUAAUGACUCGGCAUCGAGAUAUUAUUAAAGUCACAACGGUAAAAGAUGAGCAUGCGUCCCAUUAGCUAGUUGGUAAGGUAACGGCUUACCAAGGCUACGAUGGGUAGGGGUCCUGAGAGGGAGAUCCCCCACACUGGUACUGAGACACGGACCAGACUCCUACGGGAGGCAGCAGUGAGGAAUAUUGGACAAUGGGCGCAAGCCUGAUCCAGCCAUGCCGCGUGCAGGAUGACGGUCCUAUGGAUUGUAAACUGCUUUUAUACGAGAAGAAACACUGCUUCGUGAAGCAGCUUGACGGUAUCGUAAGAAUAAGGAUCGGCUAACUCCGUGCCAGCAGCCGCGGUAAUACGGAGGAUCCAAGCGUUAUCCGGAAUCAUUGGGUUUAAAGGGUCCGUAGGCGGUUUAAUAAGUCAGUGGUGAAAGCCCAUCGCUC